rnacentral:lncRNA from 1 species
AGCGAUCUCUUGUGUGAACCGAUUCAUUGUCAACACUCAAACGAUUCAUUCCUGCAUCAGAUGUUUGACGUGGCGUUACGUUUGUUGCCAUAAAUAUUGCCAACUCCGAUAUCAAUACAGCCGACGAGUUGAUUGGGAUAGCAGUGAAAUCUACUGGAUUCACACUGGUUAAAAGGAAAAAAUGCAGUCCGUGGAUGAUAUGGCGCUCGGAUUGAAGCCAGACGCAGAGUCGAGAGAGACCCGCAUGGCUGGCAGCUGUUGAUGAGUGCGGCUUAUGGUCAUUUCCAAUUCAUCUCUAUACCGAAAGGUUCAGAUGUUCUCUUCACCACAGGGAUUUUCGCUGAGGAUACACGCCAGUGCUCCGACCAGCCUGGGGCCACGCAGACCAAAAUUCCAUCAACAAGACAUUUCUGUGGUCUUGAGAGUUUUCCAAACGUAAACCAUGAUAUUGAGCUUCCCACCCUGAUAACGAGUCCAUUAUAG